rnacentral:misc_RNA from 1 species
GAAACACCCUGCAUCUAUGGUACAAAAAUUUCAUCCAAGUUGAAAGCACGUAGCAAUUUUAAACUCAUGACUAUAAACUUUUAUGUGUGAUUUGAACAGAAAAUCCAAAAUCAUCCAAAGAAAACUACAAACAUCAUAGCAUGGCAAUGCACAUUGCAAGUUGCAGGCGCACUGAUUUAUAAUCCACAACAUUGGAAUUGGACA